CUGCGGUAAAAUAGAAAAAAUCCAACGGGGUUGCGGUGGUUUCGACCGCCGCAGUCGUUCCGCAAACGUCAAAAGUGCUCGGUUCACGCUAAAAAGCUCUCACUCACUUGGUUGCCAUAAAAUUCAAAAAUAAUGGAAAUUGUUUCAUUUAUGGUUUACGUAAUCGCAAUUGCUGCCACAACAUGUAACUUAUUUCUAAACUAUAUUAGGUGUAGUUUAAGCACUUUUGUAUGCAGCUUUACGCCAUUAAACAUAAUUUAGAUUUUCAACUAUUUAUUUUGGUUUCAAGGUUGUGUGCAUACUUUUUGAAGUGUGCAGCAGUUUGACGUUUGCGGAACAGGUCUUCUUUGUCUUCUUCACUCCGCCAGGUUGGAAGAUUUCUCUGGAUAAGCAAUAUUUUUCCCUGUGUACAUCGCCGUUCAUGUCCAAAUUAUAUUUUUUACCCUAAACCGUGCAAAUGUUUAAGAAAAUACUAUAAGAAAAAUAAUCGAUUACCAGGAAUAAUCGAUUAAUUAUAUCCGAUUAAUCGACAUCGGUAAUCGCUAUGGCAAAACCUAAUCGAUAACCGACUAAUCGAUUAUUUGAAAUUUUGUGACAUCACUAGUUGCAGCAGACUGACCGCUUGUGUGGUUUUCUGAGAUGUGCUUCUCGCGUAUGCGUUCGCUCUCCGCUCUCUUUUUUAUAUGGGUGUGACGUCGAUCGGUGGCGUGAUCGUCACAGGGGUAGAAGCUGACUGUCAACUGGGAACGAAUUGCGCCUACCCUCUAUCAUGUUUUAGAACCAGUAAAAAGACGUAACUGCCAAACAAGAAAAGUUCAAUUUUCGAUUGCAAAACUGAUUUUAAUACAGUUUUAUCAUGCUAAAAGCAAGUCAGCAUGUGAUUCAAACAUAAAGAAUGUUAUAAUCAGCAUAUUAGAUUGAAAAAUUUCAUUCCGAAAAAAUCAGUAUUUUGUUUUCACCAUUAUGAAAUAUUAGCCUCUACUCUAGUUUGUUUUUGUUGUUGUUUUGUUUGAAGUGUGAAAAUCGGCUGAAAAUUGAAAACUCCCUGAGCGAUUGUUUUUCUCCAAUGUGAGAAUAAUUUAACACUAUGAUUCAAGAAAUUUCAAUAAUUACCGAAAACACUGAUCAUAAGCAUCAAAAUCGAGAGAAAAACACUGAUGUUUAUGCUACUGUUUAUGUUUAUAAAACCAUUAAACAAAAGAUGUUUACAAAUUAGAACCAACAGUAGAUGGCGCGCAGGGGGGCAUGUUUGGGUAGGCGUAAAGGGUAGGAUCUUCUACCCCUGGAUCGUAAUCGCUUCAUCAUCGGCUAUCAGUAAUGGGUGUGGCGGAAUUUGAAAAACUUAAAACUUCUUCGAGCAAUCAUUGAGUGUGGAUGACCGAUGUUGUUCGUGCAGUUUAAAAUCGGAAUUUUUGACACGCGAAAAUCGAUGUUUCUCCUAAACCGUGUGUCGGACGUACGUCGGGCACAGAGCGCUGGAUAGAGGGCCAGGUCCGCUGUCCAGCGCACUACGUCCGACGUUAGGUUUCACGUAUAGAUUUUGAGAAAAUUCGAUUGUCGGGUGUGGGGAAACUUCGGGUUUCAACCGCGACGACAAUAAUUUUUUUUGGCAGGGGUACUCAACUGGAGGGGUGCGUAAUAAUAAGGACUGUUCAUUACAGAAAGUGGACAUCUGUUUACCAAUAGUUUAGAGUUAAAACUAAACAAAAAAUUGUGAAUUUUUGCUCUGUGUGUAAAAACAUUGUUCACUUCGGCAACACACUCAAAGAAAACGGAAAAAGUAAGAAAUUUCGAGCGAUAGGUCGUAUUAGCUUUGCGACUAGCAGAUUAAUUCUGCACAAAUGGUGUUCCAAAAAGUUGUCGUUUCGAGAAUUGGCUUACUAAUACCAGCGGCGUCAUGUUCGAAAUUUUUUCCGCAGUCAAGUUCGCAGAUUGUGAACAAUCCUCGGUACUCACUUUACGUAAUUUAUGUUUAGUCCCUUACUGUCAGAGCUGUCAGAUCAGUGUAACACGCUAAAUAAAAUUUACACAAAAGGCAAUUUACACGGAAAAAAAUACACGGUUAUGAAUAUUUAUUGGGUACCGGACUGGUCACCGAAAAUUUGAUCGUUUUCUUUGGUACAUCGAGGUCUUGAAAUUAGUCUAUGCUAAUACACUUCCGGGACCGCAAUUUUUUAACGCUAAGUAGGGGACAGUUGUGCCGGAUGAUGUAGGGUACAUCAGAACUGAAAAAUUUGGGAAAAAAUUUUUAGUGUGGCAAGCCAUUAGCUAUUAGACCACCUCACGGCGAAAUUCUAUCUCUUUCGCUCUUUCAGAGAGUUUGAAAACAACAGGACCAGUACCUGUCAAAUUUGACAGGUGUUGGUCCUGUUGUUUUCUAAUUUUCCGUAGGAGAGAAAGAGAGCGAUUUCUUGAUGACGUCACCGUGCAAUGGAGUAUUGUUCAUGUGGCUUAAAGAGUUCAUCGUAUUUCACAACGGGAACAAUCAACGGUGAAAAUAACAGAAAGGAAUGCAUCAAAAAACGACUUCUACUUAUCUACCGAAAACAUACGGAUCCUCUUUUGUUUUAGGUGGAUCUGGCAUCCGCUUAUUACGCUUCUUCUACACGAAAAGAAAUUUAAUUAUUUUGUUUAUUAGGAUUGAUUCAUCUUUUUUAUUUGACACGCUCUUGUUGCUUUUAUAACAUAAACUUAUUGUGUUCAUAAGAAAACUUAUUGAAAGCUAUAACGUUUCCUCAUACCAUGUAUAAGUUUUGUGUUAUGGUGAAAAAAUACAGGGUGUUAGGUUCAUGAGUGCAAACUUUUUAAAGGGUGAUAGAGGACCAUAAAUGGUGAAAAAAAUUGUUCUACGCAUAUGGUCAAAUCUCAACCGUUACGUAGUUAUUGAACUCCCCAUGUUUUUGACUAUUAUUGCCUUAACUGGCUAUAACUUUAAAAUGGUCAAACUUAUCGCAUUUUUUUUACCCUCAUUCGAAAGAUUAUUGAAUUUUCUAUCAAAUGGCAUCUUUGAAUCGAUUGGUUUAGUUAAAUAACUAAGUUUUCAAGAGCAAAAUGGCUAGAAAUAGCGUGUUUUAAUUUGUUUAUGUGAAUUAUUUUUGAAACAUGCGUAAUAAAUUAAAAUUCUUUCUUUGGCAAAGUCGUGGCCCCUAUUCCACUCUACAAUUCGUUCUUUGACACCAAACUUCUAACUCUUAUCGUUAUCUUGCAAUUUUUAUUUAAAUGUGCCACACAGUGCGCAAAAAGGUGCUUACCAUGACGAUUUCAAAUUUAUUAUCUGAAAUGCGAUAUUUAAAUCAAAAUUGCAAGAAAACGAUAAGAGAUAAAAGUUUGAUGCCAAAGAACGAAUUGUAGAGUGAAACAGGGGCCACAACUUUGCCAAGGAAAGAAUUUUAAUUUAUUACGCAUUUUUCAACGAUAAUUGACAAAAACAAAUUGAAACACGCAACUUUUAAGCUAUUUGCUCUAGAAAACUUAGUUAUUUAACUAAACCAAUCGGUUGAAAGAUGCCAUUUGAUAGAAAAUUCAAUAAUCUUUCGAAUAAGGGUAAAAAAACUGCGAGAAGUUUGACCAUUUUAAAGUUAUAGGAAGUUAAGGCAAUAGGAGUCAAAAACAUGGGGAGUUCAAUAGCUACGUAACGGUUGAGAUUUGACCAUAUGCGUAGAACAAUUUUUUCACCUUUCAUGGUCCUCUAUCAUCCUUUAAAAAGUUUGCACUCAGGAACCUAACACCCUGUAUAAGUUUCUACUAAUAAAUUACUUAAGAUAUCGCUUUGAAAAUUCUCUCCACUACAAACAAACGGCGCCGUCGUAUUCAAUGGAAGAAGCCAUUGCUGUUGCGCUAUCGUUUUGUUUCGGCACCACAGAAAAGUGAUUUCGCGAGGUUUUUUGUGCGAAACUCAGCAUAAAGUGGAUGGUAACGCUUGUAGAUCACGAGUAUCCCUGGAUUCAUUAACACUCUGCCUGGAACGCGGUCACAAGCAAGAUCCCAAAAAUGUUUCCUAGGAUACCCUCUAAAUGCCCCGUCCGGAUCUUUCAUUCAAGCUAAUUGGUUUCGGAAUUAAUGCCACAUGCACCCGCCGCAGCACAAGUCAUGAGCGAUCGUCUCCGUUGAUGUCGAGGAAUCAUGGGUCGAGAUCUUGAGAGAAGAUCAGCCUUUCACCGAAUGUAAACGGAUGUGUUGGCUGAUGAGAAGCAGUUAGAAGGAGUUGAGCGCAGCGGAACCGAUUCAGGUUCGUUUAUGUACUGCGAUUUAAAUUAUACAAUAAACUUAUUAUGUUCGAAAUCUGAA